AGAGUUCUUCGCUAUGAAAAAAAAGAUUUGUAAAAAAAUGAGAAUAAUAAAGCAUCAUUCAUGACAACAGUAACAAUAUCAUGUAGAUUCUAGUCGGUCUCUCUUGAUUAUUUUGGUCAAAAAAGCAUUAGCAAAGCAAGGAGGAGCAUAUUCAGAAGCCAUCAUGCCGCUAAACCUGUCAAUGAACACAUAACUGAAAAGGGCCGAGUGAUUCAUGGUACAGCGAUGUCUCAAGUUAAAUUUAAUUAGCCAAAUUAUAAAGUAGAGGUUGAGUUGGGAGAGAAUCGAAAGAUUAAAAGGACCUUUUGUACUUGCCUUGCUGGACAGUCCCGGACAGUCCCGAAGAGGAGGCAAACACAGUGCAGCUGUUUGCAUUUUUGUGAACCAAGAGUGCACUAGUUCAAAAACUGAUGACCCUCAAACAUGGAAUAAACCUUCAGAAGUCCAACGUGAAAAGUAUAAAAAAGGCUGCGUAACAGACAAAUUGUUUCCUCAAAUAAUACGAGCUCUAGAUGAACAUUUCUCAUUCGAUGAUGCAACAAACGUACCUCCCGAAUUGUUUUCAAUAGAUUGUGCUUUUAGUAAAUAUUUACAAAUAGAAGAAAGAAUACAGGACAUACAGUUAAGCCAUCUUUGCGAAUGACUUUACGCCUUUAGCUCGAACUUUACUUACCAUUAUUUUGAAUUAAUUGUUGCUGUCGCUGGGCGACUAAAAUUUAAAAAACUUCAGUGCCCUAAAGAUUGCAAAGCUAAUUAUGAUUCAAUCAAAGUAACCAAAGAUGAUUGGAUUCGAAUUAUUAAGGAAUAUCAAGGUUAAUCGUCUUGUUUCCAAUGGCAUAAUGAGAGGUAUAAGAGAAUCACGACCUCAUCUCGAGCUCAUGGCGUAAAAACCCGAGUUGAAAAUUUUGAGAGCUUAGCGAAUCAGUUUAAAAAUGAAAAAUUUAAGGGGAGAAUGACUGAGGCAAUGGAGUAUGGGUUAAAGAUGGAAUCGAAAGCACGCGUUAAUUUUUAUUGAGCAGGGAUGAUUGAAAGUAGUGAAGGUAGGCUUAGUAAAAUGGAUCAACCUUUUCUAACGGCAAGUCCCGAUGGAGUGAUUUUGGAGGAUCAUUCAUUAUUGGAGAUCAAACGCCCUUAUUCCUGUAACCGUUACAUAUUCUUAGA